GAGUAUCAUGCCCUCACGGGUAGAUCUCCACCCUUGAAUAACAUACCUUUGUUGCUUUGGCAGGACGCCCUCGUGCCAGGGGCUUCGGCUCUUGAGUGCCUGCCAGAGGACCCUAAACUCUGUUUAUACAUGUCGUCUGAGUACUAUAUAAUAGUUAAAACUUUCAACAACGGAUCUCUUGGUUCU
rnacentral:misc_RNA from 1 species